CCAACGGCCCUCUUUAGGGCCACAAUUCUGAGCGAAUACUGAUGG
rfam:Ancylostoma duodenale strain Zhejiang A_duodenale-1.0_Cont252345.1, whole genome shotgun sequence.